CGUCGCCGCUCCCGGCCGACCCCCGCCCCUUCCCGGAGCCCCGAUCUCGCUUUUAUCCCCACCCCGAGGUCCGCCCUGCCAGUCCAGAGCAGCUGGGAGACGAUUUGUUAGGCAACAGCGCGAGGCGAUCAGCUGCGAAGGGACGCGUCCGGCGCGCGAGGCUGCUAAUCCAGGUACGUCAGGCGCUUCCUGCGUUAGAGACGCUGGACUGAAUAAAGACAGGAGCGCGGGGCAGGCAGAGAGAAUUACGGCCGCUUAAGAAAAGACGCGACGCCUACCCAUCCUCGGGUGCUGUUCACUCGUGGGCGGGCAGCCCCACAGGUGUGCGGCUGCGGCUAAACCCGGGGAAUUGUUCUAGGGGGAAACUGCGGGGAGACGAGAGCUGCGUAGUGGUUUCGCUUUCGUUUCCGACGGGCUUGCUCUCCGUGUUCUUGGCGGAGGUCGUUUUGCAGCUCUGGUCUUAGUGGUCCUCUUUCUGUCGUCCUUCUUUCUUCCUGCUUCAAAUGGGCCUCUCGUUCGACAGGGAUGUGUAUUUCUUCCCUUCCCUCGGUAAAGAUGUUUGUUCCUGUGCGGCUAGGUAGUGCUGUUUUUGACGGGGGCGCGUUCUGCCCUGAUAGCACCGCUAUGAGGAUCUUAAUUUCAGGGUCGAGGGUUCGAGCCUCAUAUUGGACAAGGAGUUGGACUAGAUGACUCGUGGGAUCCCUUCCAACACUACAAUGCUAUGAUUCUACGUAACACUCCCCCUCCCGCUGCCAUCUUUCAUUUUGGCAGCCUUUGCAAGUCUCCACCUGUGACCUGUGUCCGUCUGAACUGCAGCUGUAUUGAUGUAUUCCUUUGCCUUUCUUCCAAAGAUCUCAUGGCCCUGCUAAUGGUUCAAAAUGUAAAUGGUUCACCCUCCAUUUUAUCAUCACAACAACCAGUGCUAUUUUUCUAGAAAAAGAGGUGUCGGUACUCAGUAUGAACGCCUCCUUUGCUCUCUUAAAAUGGCAAUGGCGCCCACCUGAGAGGUGCCGGAACUGAGUUCUGGAUAAAAGAAAGAAAGAAAACAACCUUGCAAGGUAGGUUAGGCUGAGAAGCGGUGAUUGGCCCAAGGUAACCCAGGGAGCUUCGUGGCUGUGUGGAUUUGAACCUAAGUCUGGAGUCUAACCACCACCUUUGUGUUAUCCCUCACCAUUGGUCACGCUGGUUGGGGCUAAUGGGAGUUGCAGUCCAUCAACAGCUGGAGUGCUACAGGUUCCUCAUCCCUGCUCUACACCUUCAAAUGCAUUGAAACCGCUUUCAGAACUUCUGUUGAAAUUGCCAAGAUCAGGAGGGGGUGGGCAGUGAGUACGAUCCUGCUCUGCCCUUGACCUGUUCACCCCAAUGGUGGGUGGUGGCGACACAUGUGGUGCACACCAAUCCCACUCCUAACCUGCAUGGGGGCUUUUUGGAGAAGCUUUGACACCUGUAUGCAGAUAGGAACAAAUAUCUUUCAGACAUUGCGCUGAACAUGAAGAAGUCGGGGUGGAAAAUCUUGACAAGUCACAAGAGGUUGUGAGAUGCCUUCCAAAUUGGACAGUAUUCAUAAUUUUUCUAUACCACUUCAUCAUUGCACAUUCUCUGCUUAUUAGCCCUGUCUUGUGCAGUAGGGUUCUCCUAUCCUUUGAGUGGUUCACGAGGCCACAGGGAAGUUGGGAAAGUAGGAAACUUGUCUGCUAUGGACUUGCAAAGUUAACUAACCUUAGGAUCUAAGUCACCUACUUGCUGAUUUCUGCCCAGACACUGAGGUCCAGCGCCGAGGGCCUUCUGGUGGUUCCCUCACUGCGAGAAGCUAAGCUACAGGGAACCAGGCAGAGGGCCUUCUCGGUAGUGGCGCCCGCCCUAUGGUACACCCUCCCAGCAAAUGUCAAAGAGAUAAACAACUACCUGACAUUUAGAAGACCUCUGAAGGCAGCCCUGUUCAGGGAAGUUUUUAAUGUGUGACAUUUUAAUGUAUUUUUAAUCUUUGUUGGAAGCCUCCAAGAGUGGCUGGGGAAACCCAGCCAGAUGGGCGGGGUACAAAUAAUAAAUUACUAUUACUAUUACCACAGUUGUAGGGUUUUUCUAGUUGGUGAAUAUUGCAGAUUUUGUAGUUGCAACAGCCCUACAGCAAAAUCAGCAUCAUGAUAGCUUGUGUUCAUAGAAUUAGGCUGAUGUGGUCAGCCUUGUUGCUGUCCUUGAAAUCUCCCUCCCUCCCUAAAUGCAGUCUAGAUGAGAGUUGCCUUAGUAGCACUGACGUAAUUGAUGCCAGGAAUUGAUGCCAGCAAAGCGUGGGGAAGGCUGAAGAGUUCAAAAAAGAACUGGAAAAAAUACUCCCUUUCACCUUUUGACCUAUAUCUUGCAUCAGUGUUCCUUGGUUCAUUGUACAAUGUAGGAAAUGCUUUCUGUCAUUUAAGUAAAAGGAAGGAAAACUAGCAGAAAGUAUUUCCUACAUUGUACAAAGAAAAAGGUGACGCAAUUUCUAAACUUCGUGUAAUCUAGAUCAUGUUAGUGUGAAACACACUUUUGCUCUGCUUUGGUUUUCUAGAGCAAAACAGAACAAAUUAGGCAGAUCCCGCCCCCCCCCCCUUUCACUGAUAUAUAAUCUUAGAUUGCAUGAUCAAUAAUUGCCCAGUGUUUUGUAGCCUGGAGAAAAGUUGGAAGUCAGUUUUAGGCAUCCAUGUGCAAGUGGGAACUUCUUUUUUCAAGAAAGCUCAAAACAAACACUGCAGCCCAACCCCCCUUUGGUGCCUCUGCCCAGCCCUGCCAGUUAAAAAAAACAAACUCUUUUGGAUAUCAGAUUGCAAAGUCCCAUUAACUUCAGUGGUACUUACUCAGUAAGAGCAGGCUCAGGAUAGCAGACUUACUUGUGUGUUUUCCAACGUUUUAAAAGAUCAUUAUAAUAAAUUUACUUGGAAUUGUGCUAAAAAUCAGAGUGCACAAGGCAGCCAACAAAAAAAAAAUGAGUUCAUCAUAGUAACAAAGAAAUGAAGAAUGUGGUAGCAAACAAGAACUGAUCGAGUCCUGGGUUUACAAGUCUAUUCAGUUAUAAUUAAUAUUGCAUCAUUUAGAUCUCCCGAUGGACAUUGGGUAACUGCAAUCCUGCCAGCAGUUUCCCACAGUAUCUGGGCAGGACCCAAGUAAAUGCAAGCACAUUUCAAGUCCUAAGGAAACCAGUAGGAAUGCCAAGCACAUUCUUAACCCUUUCCCACUGGAAUCCAUGGAGCUUAUUUUUUUUAAGGUGGAUCCCGUUAGGAUUUGUUUUGGCAUUUUGUUGAACGAGGAAGCUGUUGUGGUUUGGGGGGGUCUACAAAUUUGUGGCUUUUUCUUUUCAGCCUGUUUCUGUGAGUAGGUGACACCUCAUUGCGGGAUACUUUGCUGAAACUUGUUAGUCCUCAGCAUUCUCAAAUACCUCCUCCCCUGGCCAGGCUCUCUGCCUCGGGGACCACGUUGUCUUGGGUGCUGCUAGCACCUUCCAUCAGUGACCGUCAACACAGCCCUGCAAAAGCAUCAGGUUGAGUGACGGGAUGGAGCACUGGUGCUUGGAUGUGCAUCUUCCAGCCACAGCAUACAAGCAUGCCUGUCUGCCAUUCUGGCUAUGGGGCAGGAAAAGCUGGCAGGUGUUGGGCAGUGGUCCAUUAGGGCAAAUGGGGGCACUACCCCACCCACCUCAGUUUGCCUUCAAGCAAGCCUUCACCUGCCUAGCAUCUUACUUGCGACCAGUAAGGUUUGCCUGUCACUGACCCUGCCUCCAUCUAUUGCUUGUCUCCUUGCCUUCUGCCCUACAGUUCUAAUGGUACCAGCCACCAUUUUUGUGUUGUGUGGGCUUUUUCUGGGAGGGGGUGCAGUUUAUCUCUGUAUUGCAAAGGCUCUCUAGGUACCUCGGUCAUACACCUGCCAAAUGACAUCUAUCCUUCCUCCCAGUUCAGCAGCAUGUAUCUCCAUUUGUAACAAAAGAUUAAAAAAAUUGUAUAAAGUAAAUUCAGUUUGUAAUUAUUGUCUGAAUAAACUGUACUUGAAUAUACUAAAAACGAUAAUUUCAUGGCAGACCAUUUGGUGAAACUACGUGUUAAGUAAGGAGCACGAAAACUGCAAUUCUACUUCUUUCAGAAUUGCUGCUCUCAUACAUAAAAAGCAAAGGUAGUCAUGUUUGUCCAUAAGAAAACACUUCAAAGUUGGUCCAAACAUUUAUUAAAAGGUAAAGGGACCCCUGACCAUUAGGUCCAGUCGUGGCCGACUCUGGGGUUGCGGCACUCAUCUCGCUUUAUUGGCCGAGGGAGCUGGCGUACAGCUUCCGGGUCAUGUGGCCAGCAUGACUGAGCCGCUUCUGGCGAGCCAGAGCAGCGCAUGGAAACGCCGUUUACCUUCCCGCUGGAGCAGUACUUCUUAUCUACUUGCACUUUGACAUGCUUUCAAACUGCUAGGUUGGCAUGAGCAGGGACCGAGCAACGGGAGCUCACCCCGUCGUGGGGAUUCGAACCGCGACCUUCCGAUCGGCAAGUCCGAGGCUCUGUGGUUUAACCCACAGCACCACCUGCGUCCCUAAACAUUUAUUAGGCCAAUCAAAAUGUAACAAAAUUUGUGUUCUCCAGAACUAUUUUGUGACAUUAAAGGUAUGACCCAAUUGUGGAUUUGGGAGUUCCAUGCAGGCUUUAAAACAGGAAAUUUCUUCAUGAGCUAAGAGGAAAAUCUUCCAUACCAUGAAAUUCACUUGAAAGUGGGUUUUCAUGAAACCACAGUAGAUCUUGAUGGAAAGUUUGCCAAUAUAGAACUUGGCCUUGAACAAACACAAAAGCAGGAAGAUUGAUGGUAAUCUCUGGACUACAAAAGGGCCUCCCAAAGUAAAUAAAAGUUUCUGUGUGUUCAUGGGCAGCUGUUGCACUGCAGCUUUUGAUUAAGAGAAAAAUGACCUGGUAGAUUUGUGUUUGGUUGUAAACCUAUAUCACCCGAUACAAUGCGUAAAACCCAUUGAACAAGAUGGGACUCGCUUCUUUGUAGGCACGCAUUGGAUUGCACGGUAAAAGAAUCAGUGCAAAUAUUCAAUAGAACUAAUAUUGUAUAUCACUUCCUGGGGUCCAAGUUCUCUCUGUUUUUCUCCUCCAGAGGGAGGAGCAUUUUUGUUGCAUUGAUUUUCAUCUGACUCUGAAUCUGCUCUUUCUUGUACAUAAGUAUUUGGUUUUCAUUUGAAUUCAUGCAUUUGCACCUUCAACAUUUUUUAUGCCAUGUACUGGAAAGACCUGGGGGAGUUGGGAUAUUGAAACUGGUGAGGUCUAGAAUGAUGAAGUGGCUGAGCUUAUUUUAAAGCGACUGUGCUUUAAAAUAAAGAAAAUAAAAAGAUUCCUGUGGUGAUUUCUUGGAGGGUUAAAGUGGAUUUGUGUUGGGUUUUUUAAAAGGUUGAAGUCAAAUAGUGGACAGUAUAUGAAGUUCUAGGGCUGAUCAACAUAUUUAAGUUUAAUAAGCUACUGAGGUCCCUACAUCUGUAGGUCUUUAAAUACCUCAAAUAUCAAAUGCAAAAUAUAUAACUUAUCACUAAAAUGGAGACUGGAAAAAGCCAACAUGAUACAGGUUUUUUUAAAGGGGCUUGUACAAUAUUAGAACCCAGAUAGCCCAAUAUCUGUUCUGGAUAGACUGGUGUAAAGCAUUGUUAAAGACAGACUUGCUAAGAACAAGGAAGUAUCCAUGUGGUUUCUGCAAAGGGAAGUCCUUCCUUGCCAACCUUUUGGAGGUAUUGAGAGUGUAAUCAAUCCUAUUCAUGUGCUUGGUUUUUUCUCAAACCGAAAGCCUCCACAGAAAAGGUCUGUUUUUGUGUUGGCACCCCCUAAAUCUCUUGUGGGGUAGGUACCUGAAGAAGGGCCUCAGAUUAUGAUUUCAGGGUCUGGGUUGGUUCCUAUGAGGAGAGGAGUGGUAUUGUGGUCCAAAGGCUUAGUAAAUAUUUGAUUGGAUCCCAACUUGCCCUUCCAUUUGCAGAAGAACUCCUGCCAUUCAAGAAAAGGACUGGAAUCCCUUCCCUGUUCUCCAGUAGCAGUUCCCAAUGAGCAGAGCUCUACCCACAGAAACUUUGGAUCCAACCCAUUAUUUAACUGUUUCCAGAAAGGUUUUUGACAUGAGCCCCUUCAUAUGUUCAAAGAGUGUGUAGAGGAAGAAGUACCACUUUUCUUUCUGCCUCCAGUUCUAAGGGGGUGCCAUCCUCCCCACCUCCAAGACAAAAAUCCUAAGGGGAAGCCUAUGUUUGCUAGGUUGUGAGUAGCCAGAAAAGAGACCAUGAUAAAUAGCUGAAUGGACAUGUCGACUUGAUGUGCGGUAAUGAUGUAAAAGGCAAAUUCCAUGCUAGGAAUUGUUAGGAAAGAACCAUUUCGUUUUCAAAAAUUAUAAUGCCUUGAUAUAAAUAUGGUAUUGCCUUCAUAUAAAUCUAUAGCACAGCUACAUUUUGUAAUGCAGAAAGGAGCAACCAGAUUGCCCUCAGGCCCUGCAUUUGAGCUUCCUCAGACAUCUUAUGGGCCACUGUGAGAACAGGAUACUGGACUAGAUGGGCCACUGGUCUGAUCCAGCAGGCCUAUUCUGAUAUUCUUAAUUAGUGAGGUCAGACCAUCUUCCUACCAGGACUGGUGAAAUCAUUUUGAGCCUUUUAGUUCAGGCAAGUGGUUACUGUGACUGUUCUUACAAGUGGACACAUUGAGGCAAACUCAGUAAUUUAUAAUAAUAUAUUUGCUAAGGAGCCAGGCUCCAAUCAUGAAUGGGGAUGAGCUGGGAUUUAUAACUUUGGUAAUGCCAAAGUGAAUAAUACAAAAUUAGGAGGGAGAGAGGAGGAUAUGGCAAUGUUGCUUUUUAUUUAAAAAAAACAGCAACCAUCUUAUUUUGUUUUUUUCAGAAACGAGUAUACAAAGAUUCAUGGAACCCCAGGGUGAGUAAUAUCUUUCUGCUUUAAUUCUGCGAAUGUUCAUUUUUGACACGGACCAUCUAUAAAGCGUUGUUUUCCUAUUUGCCUACUGUGUGCCUGUUUUGGCUGCUCUUGUUGGACACCAGAGGUGGUAAAAUAGGGUACCUGCAGAAACAGGAACCUUGUGGCUGGUAUGUUCUUGUGAGGUAGAAGUACAACUAGACUGCACUUUCAUCUCCAUGAGCCCUCAACAUUUGCUGCAAAGGGUUGCAGAUUGUUAACACGGGUUAACUAUUCCAUUGGGAGUUUAAAUAAUUUGGAAUGAACAUUACCAAGGUUUUCAUCAAAUGUUCUAGAAAAAUCAAUUGAAUAUUCAUUUAUUUUCUUUUUGCUUUAUUGUUCAAAUAUUUGCUUUAUUCAGAUGUUGUUGUUUUGCUUUAGUAUUUUUCCUAAACUGGGUUGCCUUCCCCAAAUCAUGUACAAAGUGAAUCUUUCAACAUAAAAUAUAUGUGGAAAGUGGGGAAUGAGAGUAGCAGCCCAUUAAACAAGCAUUCAGGAUAGCCCUAUAGACCCACAAAAGAAAAGGUAAAUUCCAAAUACAGUAGUACCUCAGGUUACAAACACUUCAGGUUACAUACGCUUCAGGUUACAUACGCUUCAGGUUACAGACUCCGCUAACCCAGAAAUAGUGCUUCAGGUUAAGAACUUUGCUUCAGGAUGAGAACAGAAAUCUUGCUCCGGCGGCAUGGCGGCAGCAGGAUGCCCCAUUAGCUAAAGUGGUGCUUCAGGUUAAGAACAGUUUCAGGCUAAGUACGGACCUCCGGAACGAAUUAAGUACUUAGCCUCAGGUACCACUGUACCUUUUAGGAUUGUGUUGAAAUGAUGUUAGUUCUUGUUGAACAAUAAAGUGUAUGCAGGAUUCCAAGCUUUUAAAGAUAUACUGUAUUUUUCGCUCUAUAAGACGCACAAGACGCACCUAGUUUUUGGAGGAGGAAAACAAGAAAAAAAAUAUUCUGAAUCUCAGAAGCCAGAACAGAAAGAGGGAUCGCUGCGCAGUGAAAGCAGCAAUCCCUCUUGCUAUUCUGGCUUCUGUGAUAGCUGCGCAGCCUGCAUUCGCUCCAUAAGACGCACACACAUUUCCCCUUACUUUUUAGGAGGGAAAAAGUGAGUCUUAUAGAGCAAAAAAUACGGUAUUUCCUGCCAGAGUUCUAUGGCUGUAGAAACUGAAAGACAGGCAGAAAUUCAGAAGGUGUACUGUUCCCCUCACUGUAUUGCUGUGGUGGUAGAAGUUUUGCCUAUUUAGUUUUCUUCUCCAUGCAUUUCAGCUGUUGAAGGGUGUGGGACCUAUGACUCUCCAGCUGCUUUUAGACUCUGGAGGCCAAUGCUCAGGGAUUAUGGGAGUUACAGGUUCCCCGCCCCUGUGUCAAAAGCACAUAACCUCUGGCAGGAAAAGAAAGCAGCAUCCCUAGUAAGUGAAAAUAGCACUCCAAAGGGUAUUACUUUUGGAAAUUAUACAAUUUAUAUGAUUCAGACCUAGGAAGCUGCCUUAUACCAAUUUAGACCAUUGGUCUACCUAAAGCAUUGACUGCUGACAGAUCUCCAUGAUUUCAGACAGGGGCCUUCCCUAGCCCAAUCUGUUUGCACAUAUUUUAUACAAGUAGAUAUUCUGGUCGCAUUCUGCAAGUGCUAUACUUUUCAAGAGAGAAAUCUCAGAAUAGGGAAUCUGGUAAAUUCUCCACUUGAGAAUUCUUAUCAAGAGAGUAAGGUUGUAUUCAUUGGGUUUAUGGAAAUGUUGGUGUAGGAAUAUUGCCACUUACCUGGCAGGUACAUUGGCUUGAUGCAUUGAUGCUGUUUUUACCACCCAGCACAAUGCAGCAACAUCAGGAGGGUGGCUGCACCCCAAUACAUUGGCUUUUGUAAAAUGAUCUGGUGGUUGCCCGUUUUGUUUUGUCUUUUAAAUAGAAUUUGCCUAAAAGUAAAGCUGAAUUAGUGGGACGUGGGUGGCGCUGUGGGUUAAACCACAAAGCCUAGGACUUGCCGAUCAGAAGGUUGGCGGUUCGAAUCCCCGCGACGGGGUGACUGGUCCUAAUGGUCAGGGGUCCCUUUACCUUUACUUAAAGCUGAAUUAAGGGACAAAUCCUAUACACUAGAAACUGCCAUAGAGCAAACCUGGCAUAAAUUAAGCUGGCAUAAAGUUCACCAGAUCCAAACUUCAUUCAGGAGCAGGGCAACAGCUGGUUGAGUUGGUCUAAGCCUGGCAAGGGGGAAACAAGCCUUUGAAAGGUUUCCAGGUCAUGUGGUCAAGCUGAAUGGACUUGGGAUCUGGCCUAAAUCUCUCCCCCACCCCCACUCUAGUCUUGCUCUCCACCACACUCCCAGAACACCCUUUUUUCAGGGCUUACAUGGGUUUAAGAUCCAGGAUGGGGGAGAUAGAUUGGCAUAUCUGGCUGAACUGCAGAUAAAGCAGUUGAGCCAUCUUAGCCUGACGGUGCCAGGAACCUCCCAUCUCAGCCAGAGUUCGUCUGAAUCCUAACCCCACUAAAUCCUGGAAGAUCUUGCAAACAGGAUUGAUCCCUAAAUAAGGAGUGAAACUCAAACAGUAUAAUGUCAUGUUUUGCCUUUAUGUUUUCUGCUCUCUGCAUAAAUGUAAAUCAUAUAUAUAUUUGCCAGUGUUCCAGAAGUGAGGCUUUGAAAUGUCUUUCCAUUCUUCCAACAGAUAAAUCUGCACCUGUCCCACCAGCUCCUGGGUACCCUGGUUCUGCUCCUGGGUACCCUGGAGCACAGCCACCUUAUGGAUACCCUCAGUACCCCCCUGGGCCUGGUCAGUAUGCCCCAGGGCCUGGCCAAUAUCCCGCUGGUUUUCCAGGUAAGCAGUUAUUAUGCACGUAAACUUGUAUUUUACAUUGUUGUGACACUUCCCAACAUCACUUGCACUGAUGCUCUGUAUGUAAAUUCUAUACAUUAAAAAAGCAUCUAUAUAUUUAUUCUAAUGAAUAAAUUUCUAUACCACCCUUCAUAUGAGGACCACAGGGCAGUUCACAAUCAAAAGUACAUGACAUAACAGGCAAAACUAUACCCUCCAGUUUAAAAGGCCAUAGAUUUGUUUAAUAAGCCAAAGGCCUGGGAGAAGAGGGAUGUUUUUGCUGUGCUCCUAAAGAUAUAUCACAAAGGUGCGAGGCAAGCCUCCCAGGCAAGCACUCCACAAAUGGAAAGACACCACACAAAAGGCCCGUUCCUGUGUUUCUACCCUCCAGACCUCUCGUGGAGGGGGACACCUCAGAUGUUGAUCAUAGGGUCCAGGUCAGGACGCAAGGGAGAAACAUGCUAAGAGGAAGGCACGCUUGGGAAAUCCACACCGUGAUCAACUCCCACCCGGAAACCAGUGUCCCCACUGUGGAAGGAUGUGUGGAUCCAGAAUUGGCCUCUACAGUCACUUACGGACUCAUUGUUAAAACCGUGUUUAUGGAAGACAAUCUUACUCAGCUACAAGUGAUCGCCAGAGAAGAAGAAGAUAUGGGAAGAGGCGAUCUUUGAAAUAUUGCAGUCCUGAGAUGGCUUUAUAGGUCAAAACCAGCACUAUGAAUUGGGCCCAGAAACUGUUUGGCAGUCAGGCCAGGGUUGGUGUUAUGUGCUCAAACCGUCUUGCCCCAGAGAACAACUGACUAUUGAAUGCUGCACCAGCUGAAGUUUUUGAACCAUCUUCAGAGGCAGCCCCUUGUAUAAUGUAUUGCAGAAAUCGAACCUAGAGGUGACCACAAUAUAGACCGCAGGUGUUAGGCUAUCCCGGUCCAGAUAAGGGCCAAAGCUGAUGGGAAGCACUCUGCAACAUCAAGGCCACCUGAGCAUCAGGUGACAGCAAUGGACCCAGAAGUACCUGCAAGCUAAGGACCUGCUCUUUCAGAGGGAGUAUAACCCUAUCAAGAGCAGGCCACCUUCCAUGGAUUUGGUUAAGGGAACCACCCACUAACAGUGCCUCAUGAGCCUUGCCGAUCAGAGGGUUGCGGUUCAAAUCCCCGCUACAGUGUGAGCUCCGGUUGCUCUGUCCCAGCUCCUGCCAACCUAGCAGUUCGAAAGCACAUCAAAGUGCAAGUAGAUAAAUAGGUACCAGUGCGGCAGGAAGGUAAAUGGCAUUUCCAUGCACUCUGGCUUCCGUCACGUUGUCCCGUUGCUCCAGAAGCAGUUUAGUCAUGCUAGCAUGAUGUGGAAAGCUGUCUGUGGACAAGCGCCGGCUCCCUCGGCCUGAAAGAUGAGCGCCACAACCCCAUAGUCGCCUUUGACUGGACUUAACCAUCCAGGGGUCCUUUAGCUUUUUACCUUUACCUCUCGGCAAGUCAUUACUGAGGCAGAACAACGAUCCAGCACAUCCACUGCCUCAUCUGCAGAUGUAACGGAGAAGCAAAGCUUGACCAUAGAAAUUUAGACCAUUUGAGGAAAGGUCCAUAUUCUGUUCAGCUUCAUGUUUUGGUCUCAGUUCAGGAUUUCUUUUGGUGGACCUGUUCUGGGUCUCCAUACAGUGUUACUACGUAUGCAUAAAAUGAAACAGAAAGCAUUUCUCCACCAGCAGAAAAUAUAUUCUGCCCAAAGUCCUGUAUUUGUAAGAAGCAAAAUGUUCCUGUAUUGAAAUGAAUCUAAAUUAUGGGCUCAUUACGCUUUUGAAUGGAAACUGGUGAGGGGUAUGUUGGUUUGUGUUUGCCAUGCAUACAAAGCAACAGCAGGUGCUUUUUUAAAAAAAAGAAAGAGAUUGUUCAUCUAUUUUCCCAGUCUGCAUGUGCCCUGCAAAUGCUCUGUGCAGGCUCUAGUAGUAGAUCAUUAGCUUCCUUGUGUUCAAGCUAAUCCUAAAAUCUGUGGACACACUUGAUAACUAUUCCCAUUGAAUUUACCUCUCUGGGGUAACCGCAAGACAUUUUGGUGGUUGAAGCUGAAAAUACAAAUUGCUCUUAUUAAUAUAGGACACAAUCUGUAUGGUUCUGUAGUUCUUUAACAUCAGUCUCAUCAAAGCAAGUGGGGUGGGCUGUUGCUGAUUGUUCUAGAUGUUCUAUAUUGUCAGAAAAGAGACUUUUGUUUUUAAUUUUGAAACUAUGAUUGAAUUAAAGGACAGCUCUUUUAAUGCUGUAGCCUGUGUCCAUUUCUUGCUUACGAAAAUGCCCACAAAGGAGAACGCAAAUGAAUGGUAGAACCUCAUGGCUUCUCAGAUAUUCUGCCAAUACUUUACAGAGGGAGUGGAAAAUCAGAAGCAUAUAAGAAAAUCAGUUCUUGGGCAUAUAGAGUUGUAAUGUUAUCACCUGAAGUCUUUCAGUCUGUCCAUACACCAUGGCUGGCUAUUUUUUUAUUUAUCUUCAGACUAAUUUCUUCUUCUUCUUCUUCUUCUGCUGCUGCUGCUGCUUCUUCUUCUUCUUCUUCUUCUUCUUCUUCUUCUUCUUCUUCUUCUUCUUCUUCUCCUCCUCCUCCUCCUCCUCCUCCUCCUCCUCCUCCUCCUCCUCCUCGUCUUCCUCCUCCUCCUCCUCCUCCUUCUUCUUCUUCCCCUCAACUACAUGGACUUUAUGUUUGCUAACCUAAUUUAAUAAAUCUAAAGCUGCUUUAAUCCAUUCAAUGCUGUCUGAACAUAUUUCUUAUUUGUUUGUUUGUGUGAUUUGAUUUACAUACUGCCCUCCAUCAGAAUAUUUCAGGUGGGUUCACAUGGCUAAGUUGCAGAGUUCAGGCCCUGUGCAGCAGUGCUAUUUAAGUAAGAACAGCAAUAAUAGCAGUGGGAGAGGUACUCUUUUGCCUCUAACAAAGCUCUUCCGAAUCCCAUUAAUUCCGCUGGCACACUGCGUAAUGCAAGAUGAUGUUAAUGUGAAUGAUGGUCCCUUCUGAUGCAGGCCUUUAAAUUAAAACAAUGAAAGGGAUGUGUUUAUCCCUUGGAACAUGCGUGCAUCCAGCUUACGCAUCCGUUAGAUCAUUUGAACUUGAAAAGCCAUGCUGGGAAGGCAGUACACAAUUGCUUCCCUGAUUGCAGUUGCAGAAAGGUCACCUUGUGCAAACCGAAGGAUGAUGCUCGUGGGGCGGGGUAUGUUGGGCAUGGGAUGGGGCAAAGACUGCUGAUUAGGCAGGGUUGUAAGGGCCACAGUUCAGCCAUCAAUUGCGUGUUUUGCUUGCACAAAGUCCAUAGUCGAGGCACUUUUUGCUUUUAGAUUGAUUUUCAUUUUAAACUUUAAGAAAGGUUUUGUGCCAGAGUGGAUUUGAUCUAAAUCAAAUUGAUUUAAAUCAAAUUGAUGUAUUUCCUGCCUGUGUUGCUGUCCCUUCCCUUCUGUUAACACCUUCCUGCCCAGCAUAUGUUCCUGAAACCUGAGAUCCAUUGGGGGCAUGCAGGAAGGUAUCUGUUUACUCUGCCUCUCUCCCUCCUUCUAUGUGUGUAUGAAAUACAAGUUUCUUUUUAUAGACCAGAUUUGCAGAAAAGUGCAGGGCUUGGUUGUUUCUUAAAAAGCUGUAUCACUCCAAGCCCAGCAAGGAUUUGGAGCAUGGGCAGGCAGACUAAGGCCUGGGGGCCAGAUCCGGCGCAGUCGCUUUCUCAAUCCAGCCCAUGGACAGUCUGGGAAUCAGUGUGUUUUUACAUGCAUAGAAUGUGUCCUUUUAUUUAAAAUGCAUCUCUGGGUUAUUUGUGGGGCAUAGGAAUUCGUUCUCCCCCCAAAAUAUAUAAAUAUAUAUAUAUAUAGUCUGGCCCCCACAAGGUCUGAGGGACGGUGGACCGGGCCCCUGCUGAAAAGGUUUGCUGACCCCUGAUUUGGAGUAACUUUCAUGAAAGGCUGCUGCUUCCUUUCCUCUCUUUUAUUUUCCGUCCCACCUCCAGUACCAGCAAGGGCCAAUUGUAUUUAAAUUUUCAAUAAUAAUAAUAAUAAUAAUAAUAAUAAUUUUGUAUUAUUUAUACCCCGCCCAUCUGGCUGGGUUUCCCCAGCCACUCUGGGCAGUUUCCAACAGAAUAUUAAAAUACAAUGACCUAUUAAACAUUAAAAGCUUCCCUAAACAGGGCUGCAUUCAGAUGUCUUCUAAAAUUCUGGUAGUUGUUUUUCUCUUUGACAUCUGGUGGGAGGGCAUUCCACAGGGCGGCUGCCACUACGGAGAAGACCCUCUGCCUGGUUCCCUGUAACUUGGCUUCUCGCAGUAAGGGAACCGCCAGAAGGCCCUCGGUGCUGGACCUCAGUGUCCGGGCAGAACAAUGGGGGUGGAGACGCUCCUUCAGGUAUACUGGACCGAGGCCAUUUAGGGCUUUAAAGGUCAGCACCAACACUUUGAAUUGUGCUCGAAAACGUACUGGGAGCCAGUGUAGGUCUUUCAAGACCGGUGUUAUAUGGUCUCGGCAGCUGCUCGCAGUCACCAGUCUAGCUGCCACAUUCCCCACAUUAAAUGGGGAGCGCCCUUUGUGUGGUCGCACGCAGCCCCCUGGACCCUAUGCAUCACCAUUAGCACAGGCUUGGCUUUGCCUUCCCCAGUUGGGAUACCUGGAGGUCUCCGCCUACCUCAGCCAGUUACCCAAUCGCGCCUGGGGAGGCGUUGCCAAGGUGAUCAGGCCAAGGUAGGGGGUGGGACCACCCUGCGACACAAUAAGGGGAGGAUCUUACCUGGGAAUCAUCAGUUAGCUCCAGAGCUUCUCCCACCCUACCCACCCUCAGUUAAGACUUCUUUUGCAGGUUAACCUUUUCUUCACAGGUACGCGGGGCGCUGCUACGUCAAGGUCGCUGUUGAAGGGCCGGAAAGGAAUUCUCCUGCAUUGGCAGGUUUGCCUUUCCCGUAGCAAAACGUCACAACUUUGGCGGUAUCAGGCCUUGGGCGGAAUCCUUUAGUCUAUCUUCCCUAAAUGGGGGUGGGCGUGUAGCAGUGACCCACGCACCCUUCUCUUUGUGGUGGCGAUCCCAGGGUUCCCCGUUAAAGGGGUUGUUUUGAGGGAAGGCUUUGGCCAUAUGCCUAGAGGUUGUCAUUGCUCUCCCCUGUGACGGGGGCAUAACGGGGGCGGGCUCUCUCUGCUUGAACAUAUGUUCUCCAGAACCAGCCCAUUCCCCCCCACACACUCUAGAUAACCCUGAUGUUCCCCAGAUCCCCGGCAGGGGACUAGGAGGGAUAAACACCCAAUGUCUGAGCCAAGGUCUACCCACAUGUGAAACAUAAUAAAGUUGUGACCAAUUCUUAAUCCCAUAGCACGUUGUCUUGAGUCGUUAUUCCACACGGAGUCCACCCAGGUUUGGGGGACUCUGACUGUCCAUGCAAUAAAGCACAGCUGGCUUGUGUGAAUGCUGUUCUGUGCAAAAGAGCUGUUCUAAAAACAUAAGAUACCACAAAUGUGCCUUCAACAACAAAUGGCGGGACCAGAGCAUUGCAGGACUACCUGCUUUCAGACUGCUUCUGAGUCUUGCUUCUGAGUAGACACCUACUCACAGAACUGUGAGUCCGGUAUGCCCCAAUAUGUGGCUCUUGCCAGGAAAAAAAAUGCAUUGCAUUGCCAAUGGUGCAAUCGCAUGCACAUGUUUUCUAAUUUCUGUGUAAUGCUGCAGAGGGAGAGCAUUUUCUUUUACUUGUUUGUUAUAUUCACACCCUACGUUUUCAUUUAAAAAAUGCCAUGGUUGGAAUUUAAUGUAAAUUAUUGAACCAAAUCUGUUAGUGUAGGGGUUUGUUUUUUUUAAAGAUUUGUAUAAUACAAAAGGUAAAAAUUGUCAUUUUGCAUUCCCCUUCCAAGGUGCUCCUGGACAGCCACCCUACGGAUUCCAGCCUGUUCAGCAAGCUUAUGGAGUUCCCCCAGUUGCAGGCCAGCCCAAUGGACCUCCUGGUGCUAUGUGGAUGCCAGCGCCACCUUCAAUUCCCAAUUGCCCUCCUGGAUUGGAAUAUUUAAGCCAGGUACUUCUCUUUAUGUCCAGCUUCUUCAGGAAAGCAUACAAGUAAUACUUCAGUGAUGCUACACGAUUUUUUCUCCCCCAUAGAUCCAAUCGCAUGUAGGGAGAUGCGAAAGCAUUUGGGAACCAUUUAAUAACCAUUGAAAUUGCUCCUAAAUGUUGAAAUAUAUAUUCAAAGAGGUACAAAGGGGCAUUUUUUCCUAACUGGGGCUGGUAUUUGCCACUGCCAUCGCUCGUCACCCGAAGAAUCAGCAGUUUGCAAAAAUGAAACUUGAGACUCAAAAGGUACACAUACUUCACAUGUGUGCAGCCACGUGUACAUCUCUCCCCCUCACGUACACACAUUUCUCUCACACAGACCACACACACGUGCAAAACUCCCCACACUCUCGCUCGCACAUGUACCCCGUUCUUCUCUUCCCAAGUGUAUCUCUCCCUCUGUCCCUCCCUUCUUGCCCAUAUGCAUUUUUCUCCAUUGCACAUGCAUGGAGCAUGCUCGAGCAGCUCCCACAGAUUCAGAAAAGCCCCUCCACGGGUGAAGGAAGCCCCUUCCAAACAAACAACAACAAAACCCCACAAAAAUCAGUUGUUCAGAAAUUAAGUCCCCCAAAAUACAAGGGCCACCAGCCCUGAUUUAGAGACUUUUCACCAUAUGGAGGGUUACCUGACCACAUGAAGGGGCUUAUGAAUUCCAUUUGCUGAUUUGUGAAAUUUCUUAGCAGCAUUAUAUUUGCUCUAUAACUAUAAGCAACUGUAGUUACUUUCCAGAUCUAAAUUUUGACACAUUUGCCAGGAAGCAAAUUAUAUUGAUUGGUUUUUGCUUUUCUUCAUUGAAGAGGAUUCUAAAUUUAUGUGUUUCAAAAUGCAAGGAAUACCUAAAACAGCAGUCCCUCGGGUUUUGUGAAUAAUGUAAACAGGUUGCAAGAUAAUUACUUGUGUAAUUUUAUUAUUAUUUGCCAGUUUUAACAUGUUGGGUUUUUUUAAUCCCUGUCAUAGAUUGAUCAGAUAUUAGUUCAUCAGCAGAUUGAGCUCCUGGAAGGUACGUAUCUUAUGCUACUUAAUAUUGUUCAUGCAUUGAAAGAUAUUUCAGAUAAUUAUGCCUCAACUGAAGUUGAUAUUCAGUGUGUUUACUACAGGGUGAGGAUUGGAUGGUUGGACUUUAUUUUAUGGUGUUGCUGGAGAAACACCUGUUUUUAAAAAUAUGUGACUUAUGAAAUUCAAUUUGUAAUUAACCAAACAUACAUGUAUAUAAAAGAGAAUGUGAUUUAUAGCCAAUUAGGAUUCAUAGAAUUGUAGAGUUAAAAGGGAUCCCCAGGGUCAUCUAAUCUAAUGCAGGAAUCACAGCUAAAGAAUUCCUGAUUGCUUUGGUGGUUAUAUGUAUCAAGGUAUAGUUCUGACAGGGAACAGUUUACUGCAGGGGUGGCUAACCUGUGCCCUUCCUGCAAGAUGUUGUUGGAUUCCAAUUCCCACCAGACCCAGCGUGACCAGUAGUAGUAGUAGUAGUAGUAGUAGUAAUAAUAAUAAUAAUAAUAAUAAUAAUAAUAAUAAUAAUUUAUUAUUUAUACCCUGCCCAUCUGGCUGGGUUUCCCCAGCCACUCUGGGCGGCUUCCAACCAAAUAUUAAAAACAACACAGUGUCAGGCAUUAAAAAUUUCCCUAAACAGGGCUGCCUUCAGUUGUCUUUUAAAAGUAAAAUAGUUGUUUAUUUCCUUGACAUCUGAUGGGAGGGCGUUCCACAGGACAGGCACCACUACUGAGAAGGCCCUCUGCCUGGUUCCCUGUAACCUCACUUCUCACAGCGAGGGAACCACCAGAAGGCCCUCAGCGCUGGACCUCAGUGUCCGGGCUGGAUGAUAGGGGUGGAGAUGCUCCUUCAGGUAUACAGGACCGAGACAGUUUAGGGCUUUAAAGGCACUUUGAAUUGUGCUCAGAAACGUCAGUAAGUUAUGGGACUUGCAGUCCAGCAACAUCUGCAGAGCCCUAAGUUCCCCAUCCCUGGCUUAUGCUACACAGAAAUAGCCAACAGUGUGGUUUUUGAGGGCUGGGGGUGGGAAUAACUAUUGCUUUCAUGUCAGUCCCUUUCUGUUAAAGACUUAAGUCCACACCAAUACACGUUUCACACUUGAUUUGUUCAAAUGGACAAAAAAUUCAUUGUUUUAAGAUCUCCUCAGGCAUUACAAGAAUGAGGAAGUUACCACAUAGGAGAUUGAGCAGUGGGGAGUGCCCAGGAAACCUCUGUGACUCUGGGUGGCAUCCUGCUUCACUUAGAGAAGCUGUUUACACAGGCCUGGCUGACCAUACUGUUUAGCCAGGACCAGUGGAUGCACCUCUGCUCCCUCUUCCCAGUACUGCAUUCACUGAAUCUGAAUAAGUCUUGUAAACUAAGCUUUUGUGUCUUCAGGGGUGGGAAAAUCACAGGAUCUUCUUGAGGGCCAAAGUGGUGACAUGCAGCUGUCAUCACACAGGACUGCUUUGCAUCCAGUAGAAGUGGUAUCUUUGUAAUCCUGGUAGAACUUGCCUAAUGUUGUGACAUUAUGAAGUUCUUCAGGUUUUUCCUGCCCCACAACAUGGGGCUGGAAUUGGGAAGGGGGCCGUAGCUCAGCGGGGAAUGCAUUUGGAUCAAAAGAACUGGACUUCUCUUCCUUCUCUUUCAGUACUCACUGGCUUUGAAACAGCCAACAAAUAUGAAAUAAAAAAUGCAAUGGGGCAAAGGGUGUACUUUGCAGCCGAGGAAAAUGACUGCUGUACACUGAACUGCUGUGGAACAUCCCGGCCAUUUACAAUGAAAAUCCUUGACAAUGUGGGUCAGGAAGUCAUUGAGCUCAGGCGACCUCUCAGGUGCUCCAGUUGUUGCUGUCCUUGCUGUUUGCAAGAGGUAAAUGGCUUCUUGCUCCUUGAGUCCUUUAGCUUGUCUCAGUUUAAAACCACCAAGAUGUGGAUAUUUAUUUGGGGUGCUUUCUCAUUUCUCUGACCGUGUGAGAUGCCCCUCCUUAAAUUCUUACACUGGCUUCCUGUCCAGCUCUAAUUUCCUCAGGUGAGAAGAAGAUCCCUGCUGGUUCAGGCCAGUAGCUCAUCCUGCUCUCACAGUGGCCAGCCAGGUGACCAUGGAAAGCCCCAAAUCCAAGACCUGAGUGCAACAUUUGAAAUCCCCAGCAACUGGAAUUCAGAGGCAAAGGGCGUCUGACAGCCAUUGCCACUAUUAGCCGCUGAUAGCCCUUCUCCUCCAUGAAUUUGUCCAAUCCUCUUUUAAUGUCUUCAAAGUUGGUAGUUAGUGAUACACUGUGAGAAGGAAGUGCUUUCUUAAGUUCUCACCCUUAUUAUUAGUUGCAUUUGUUGGUUGCUUUGUACAAAAAACAACAACGUGUGGAAGUAACUCAACAAAUAUAAAAUGAACAGAUGAAAUAACUUAAAACCCAUAAAAUUUAAAAAGUCAUGUACCUUUGAGGCUAACUUAACCACUAAAAACUUGGGUUAAUAAAAAAUGUCUUUGCCUGGCACCAGGAAACUAUGGGGCCAGACAUAUUGUCCUGGGGAGAGGAUUCCACAUAUGGCAGGGUUUGGGGGUGGGAGGGAGGAGACACUACUGAAAAAGGCCAUGCUCCUAUAGUCACCCUUGGAUGACACAGAGAGAGAAGGGCCUCUAAUGAAGGCUGCAGGGUUUGGGGUGGUUUUUAUGGGGAGAGGGGUUCCUUGAGGUACUGGGGUUCCUGAGCAACAUAAGCCUUUGUUACGUUAAAACCAACUCUUUGAACGGAGCCCAAACAUUAAUUGGUAGCCAAUACAGUUGCUUUGCUUGAACAUGUCUUUGCCACAGAUUUUGCGACUUGGCUUAAAAAAACUGAAGCACCUCCUUCUGACUCAGCUCUGUUUGUUCCUUGUUUUUUUUAGCUGGAAGUUCAUGCCCCACCAGGCACACCGGUUGGUUAUAUUAAACAGCUCUGGGAUCCCUGUCUACCUAAAUUUGCUAUCCAAAAUGAAGCCCAAGAAGAAAUACUGAGAGUCGUCGGGCCCUGCAUAGUAUGCAGCUGCUGUGAAGAUAUUAACUUUGAGGCAAGUUAACAAUAGGACCGUGUCCUGUGAAAUUUUAUCACGUUGGCCAGGGGCCUGCAUCAUGGCACAGCCAUCGUGUCUACUUGUUGUUUAGCAUUGGGAGAAAUCUAGUAAUCUGUAAUCUGGUGUUGCCAGUUCAUGGAGAAGCAAGUUAACCUGUAGUGUUAACUUGUUUUCUGUAUUUUUUACCCUGAGGCUGUAGAGAAGUGGCCUCCACCAUUGGCUGGGAGACCAAAAAAACAAAAACACUGGGAGGCUGCACACUCUGUCUCCCUUCAACAAGUUAUAUAAAAUGUUGACAUUAGCCUCAUGCCUUUUAAAUACUUUGCAAAUGUGAAGAUUUAAAAUGUCUUAAGUUUCCAAUUAUAAUGAUCUCUUUUUUAAAAACAACAACUAGGUCAAGUCAAAAGAUGAGAAAAACAACGUUGGAAGAAUUUCCAAGCAGUGGACUGGCUUUGUGAGGGAGGCCUUUACAGAUGCAGACAACUUUGGAAUCCAGUUCCCACAAGACCUCGAUGUUAAAAUGAAAGCCGUCAUGAUUGGGGCUUGCUUCCUCAUAGUGAGUCUGAUAGUCUCAAAUGUUGUGCCAUUGGGAAUUUUGGAGUCUAAUUUAAUGGACUUUAUAUGUAUGCUCCUUACAGGGCACUUUGAGUCCUGUAGGACUUUCUGGUUCCUUUUGGCUGAUAAGGACAGUCAUGUAAAGUUCCCAAGUGCCUUGUGUUAAUUAAAGAGCUGCAGACAUUUGCUGGCGCUUCUUGGAAUGAUUAUUGGCAAUUUUAGCUUUGGCGCAAGUCAUUGCUUUCAUUGCUGCAGCACUGAGUGGCAUGCAUCCAGGAGGUAGAUGGAGGAAGGAAAGCCAUGCUAAAUCAAAUUAAAUAUUUAAGGUGAUGAAAUCUACCAGAUUGUUCAAUCUACUCAGGUCACUUCCAGGUUGUUGCAUUUUUCAGGUGGGAUUCAGUCACAUACUGGCAGAUUUGGGUUGUGCAAUUAAAGUAGAUUUGGAGUUAUUGCACAACAAACCUGCUCCCCCCCCCCUCAAAAAAAAAGUUUGUCUCCCUGUGAACAAAUCAGGAUGAAUGCCAAACAGACAGGUUGUCUGGAAGCAACCGAAAUUGCAGCUUAAUGACACAGUGCCAGUUUUUACAAACAUGGAAGCAGGAAAAUGAUGAACAUAAAAGAGCCCAGUUGGAUCAGACCAAAGGUCUAACUUGCCCAGGUUUAUGUUCUCACCUAUGUGAAGCCCAUAAGCAGCACAUGAGUGCAAUAGCAUUGUCUCUCAUUUAUAUUCCCCCGUGGCUAGUAUUUGGGAUCUCUUUGAUCCUGGAGGUAAUAAAGGUCUAUCUUGAUUAGUAACCAUUCCUUCUAAUGACUUUCCUCAUUAAAAUGGCAUUGGUUUUCAAAAACUUCUGUAAAAUGGAAUAAGUAGAAAAGUAUCUGAAUAUUGGUUUGCAGUUGCCUAACUGCUGUCUGUUUUGUUUGGUCUCUGUCCCCUCCCCCCCUCCUUUGUAGGAUUUCAUGUUUUUCGAACACUCUGGACAAAAUCGGCAGCAGCGAGCUGGGGUCUGGUAGCAGAGCAGAUUUCUGGAUUAUAAAUACUUCUGAGAAAGCCUUCAUCCUCAUGUCACUUCUAGUCUUGCCUCGCUAUCAUUGUCAAGCCUGCUUUGAAGGAUUCCCCCACCACACACACACACAUUAAAACUACUUAUUUUUGUAUUGUGAUUGCAGCUUUCACACCUAUGUUGGAAUAGUCCCAUUUAUUAGAGGCUGCUCAAUUCUUGAAAUAUAUACUGAUUUUAUUUUUUUAGUUUUUGAUAUAUAUAUAUAUAUAUAAAAUAUAUACUUUUGGUGCGAGAUCCUUCUUUGUGUAUGUGCCAGUGCUCAGAGAGUAAACUGCAUUUUGUGUGAAGAAAGGGGCAGUAUCUGUAACUUGUGGCUAUUAAUUAAGGCAGGGAUUCAUAUCUGUUCUUUGUAUGUAGGGCUAAUAUACUGCUAAACUUUUGUUUUGUUUUGAGCCAAGAAUACUGGACUGCAACUCCCAUCAUCCCUGACCAAUGGUCAUGCUGACUGGUGCUCUUGGGAGUUGUGAAUCCACAACAUCUGGAGGGUUUCCAUCCCUUCCCUAGUAACUAAGGAGCUGAUGCCAUACCUCCCAAGUGCCUGGGGUUUUCCCUGCUGAUGUUCGGUGUUCCCAGUGCAAAUGCAAACAUUUUAUGUAUUGCUUCUAUAAUCUCCAGUCCAAGAUUGGGACUCAUGAACCUGCAUCUGGAAAUUUAGAUGCAGCACCCACGAACCAGUGCCUGGAACUUAAACGCAUGCCUUGCUCCCACAACUUGUAUAUUUGCUGUAGAAAACACCAAAGCCUUCACUCAGCAGUCAUAACAUAUAGUGCUGCCAACAUGAGUUACUGAGGGAAAUGGGGGCGUGAAGGAAAGAUGGAUUUACCAAUCAGAGGGUGCUAUUUAACCAAGUCACACUUGGAACAGACCCAGCAAAAUCAUUCACCUUACGUUAUGACUGUUGUUGAAUAUCAAUCAGAAUGUAUGUAAGAAACUGUAUUAAGUGGUCCAAUGUUUUAGGGGUAGCAAAUAGCUCCUUCCAAAAACAAACUCUUGCUAUGUUAUGGUGCCUAUAUAGCCAAAGAGGGGCUACGAAAGGAGAAGAGAGGGAGAUAUUAAAGGUUUGCAGAUAUAGAAAAAAUCAUGAGGGGGGGGGAAUACCCUAAGAGAACCCCCCCCCAUUUGAUUUCUUUUUUUAAAAAGCACUAUGCUCUGUAGUCAGAAAAUGCCAAGUGCCUGUAUGGGGGGGGGGGGUGAAAGAAUUAUCCUGACAAAAGGCAAAGCUAUAUGGCUGGAGCACUCAAUACUGCAACAAUUGGUUGCAGAUUGUACCUCACACAGAAAUAGAUGAUGCUGUUGUAUUUUUGACUGAAUUUCGAAAAGGAAAGGAAAAAAAUGUGUUAGCCUUUAUAUGUAUGUGUGAAAAAUUAAAUUAUAAAGACACAUAAAAAUGAAUCUG